CCUACGGGAGGCAGCAGUGGGGAAUAUUGCACAAUGGGGGAAACCCUGAUGCAGCGACGCCGCGUGAGUGAAGAAGUAAUUCGUUAUGUAAAGCUCUAUCAGCAGGGAAGAAAAUGACGGUACCUGAGUAAGAAGCCCCGGCUAACUACGUGCCAGCAGCCGCGGUAAUACGUAGGGGGCAAGCGUUAUCCGGAUUUACUGGGUGUAAAGGGAGCGUAGACGGCAGUGCAAGUCUGGAGUGAAAGGCGGGGGCUCAACCCCCGGACUGCUCUGGAAACUGGACGGCUGGAGUGCAGGAGAGGUAAGUGGAAUUCCUAGUGUAGCGGUGGAAUGCGUAGAAAUUAGGAGGAACACCAGUGGCGAAGGCGGCUUACUGGACUGUAACUGACGUUGAGGCUCGAAAGCGUGGGGAGCAAACAGGAUUAGAUACCCGGGUAGUC
rnacentral:rRNA from 1 species